rnacentral:rRNA from 1 species
AGUGAACGCUGGCGGUAGGCCUAACACAUGCAAGUCGAACGGCAGCACAGUAAGAGCUUGCUCUUACGGGUGGCGAGUGGCGGACGGGUGCGGAAUACAUCGGAGUCUACUUUUUCGUGGGGGCUAACGUAGGGACACUUACGCUAAUACCGCAUACGACCUACGGGUGAAAGCAGGGGAUCUUCGGACCUUGCGCGAGUGAAUGAGCCGAUGUCGGAUUAGCUAGUUGGCGGGGUAAAGGCCCACCAAGGCGACGAUCCGUAGCUGGUCUGAGAGGAUGAUCAGCCACACUGGAACUGAGACACGGUCCAGACUCCUACGGGAGGCAGCAGUGGGGAAUAUUGGACAAUGGGCGCAAGCCUGAUCCAGCCAUACCGCGUGGGUGAAGAAGGCCUUCGGGUUGUAAAGCCCUUUUGUCGGGAAAGAAAAGCAGCAGGUUAAUACCCCGCUGUUCUGACGGUACCCAAAGAAUAAGCACCGGCUAACUUCGUG